CCUCAAUUCUUUCUUUUCCCAAUUCUUGUCUUUCUUUCCCCAACUUCUUCUUUCCUUCCCCAAUAUUCACCUUUCUUUCCCCAUUCUCUUCGUCCUUCCCUAAAAUUCUUCAUUCUAUCCCAAUUCUUCUCUUUCUUUCCCCAAUUCUUGUCUUCUUUUCCCCAAUUCCCACCUUUCUUUCCCCAAUUCUUCUUCCCUUCCCAUCUCCUCUUUCAUUUCCCCAAAUUUCUGCUUCUUUCCCCAUUUUUUCCCCUUCUUUCCCCAAUUCUCCAUUCCCCAAUUCUUUCUUUCCCCAAUUCUCAUCUUCCUUUCCCCAAAUUCUUCUUUCUUUCCCCAAUAUUCACCUUUCUUUCCCCAUUUCUCUUCUUCCUUCCCUAAAAUUCUUCAUUCUAUCCCAGUUCUUCUCUUUCUUUCCCCAAUUCUCGUCUUUCUUUCCCCAAUUCUUGCCUUUCCUUCCCCAAUAUUUGUCUCUCUUUCCCCAACUCUUCUUUCCUUCCCAUCUCCUCUUUCAUUUCCCCAAAUUUCUGCCUCUUUCCCCAAUUUUUUCCUCUUUUUCCCCAAUUCUUCUUCCCUCCAUUCUUUCUUUUCCCAAUUCUUGUCUUUCUUUCCCCAACUUCUUCUUUCUUUCCCCAAAUUCUUCUUUCUUUCCCCAUUUCUCUUCUUCCUUCCCUAAAAUUCUUCAUUCUAUCCCAAUUCUCAGCUUUCUAUCCCCAAUUCCCACCAUUCUUUCCCCAAUUCUUGUCUUCUUUUCCCCAAUUCCCACCUUUCUUUCCCCAAUUCUUCUUCCCUUCCCAUCUCCUCUUUCAUUACCCCAAAUUUCUGCCUCUUUCCCCAUUUUUUUCCUCUUCUUUCCCCAAUUCUUCUUCCCUCAAUUCUUUCUUUCCCCAAUUCUUGUCUUUCUUUCCCCAACUUCUUCUUUCUUUCCCCAUUUCUCCUCUUCCUUCCCUAAAAUUCUUCAUUCUAUCCCAAUUCUCAUCUUUCUAUCCCCAAUUCCCACCAUUCUUUCCCCAAUUCUUGUCUUUCUUUCCCCAAUUCCCACCUUUCUUUCCCCAACUCUUCUUCCCUUCCCAUCUCCUCUUUCAUUUCCCCAAAUUUCUGCUUCUUUCCCCAUUUUUUCCCCUUCUUUCCCCAAUUCUCCAUUCCCCAAUUCUUUCUUUUUUCCCAAUUCUCAUCUUCCUUUCCCCAAAUUCUUCUUUCUUUCCCCAAUCCCCACCAUUUUCCCCCAAUUCCUGCCCUAUUUUGGGGACAAACUCGGGAAAACGAAGAUCCGGGCGGAGGGAAAACAAAAAAACCGAAGAGAACGAGAGAAACAAUUAACAUUAAUUACUGAGAUAAUUAAAAAAAUGGUGAAUAAUGGCCCCAAAAAAACCCGAAAAACCAAUUAGCAGAGGAUGGUUUCGAUCCAUCGACCUCUGGGUUAUGGGCCCAGCACGCUUCCGCUGCGCCACUCUGCUGCUGCGUGUUAAUUAAUUACCUUCUCUAAUUAAUCACACGUUGAAUGUUUGCUAUGGGAACAGCGGGAGACAAAAAAAAAAUCAAGCUAAAAAACAAAAAAAACCCGGAAAGCUGAGGCGCGCUCGUAAAAACCUUCGCCUUACGAGGUCAUUAAGAUGAAUGAGGGCAAAUUAAUGACGGGAUUAAUUAACGCAAAACAGAGGCACCACCUGGAGAUGCCGGGGAUUGAACCCGGGACCUCAUACAUGCGAAGCAUGCGCUCUACCACUGAGCUACAUCCCCUGCGCCCACCCCCUGCCUUCCGCCG
rnacentral:tRNA from 1 species